CAGACGCUGCGAGAGAUCUUCAAGUUUUGGAGAGAAUAAAAACAACACAAGUGGCCUAACUGGUGGGGUAGGGAAUGAGAAGUAGGAGCUAUCUCGCUGGUAUCUGGGGAAUUUGUAGUAACAGUGCCAUGCCUUACGUUGUGAGCCCUGUGACUAACCCUCUGAAUUUGAAGGUAUCUCUUUGAUGAAGAUGGACUUUGAUUCCCUAGUUCUUUAUUGUCCUCCUGACUCAGAAGCUGCUGCUUUGACAAGUAUAAAAGCAAGUUCCUGUAUCUGCAUCCUCAUGUUUCAUUUGGCUCCCUCUGCCCAUGUCCACCUGCCUGCACCAGUGGGCUCUGGGGCGAGCGUGCCUGGGGAUCCUGAACUACUUCAGGUCUGUGGAGAGAAGCCUGACCAUCAGUACCGCUGGCCUCUCCUUCAAGGCUGGUCACCUAAUUCCCAGUGCAGAAGACACCUUGGUCUGCUGCCAAAGGAAGCACUGGUGCCUUCAAUGCCCUGAGUUCACAGCUGUAUAUUCACUACACACCAGCGGACUACAAGGCAAUGUAACUUGUGAGCAAUUCAGUGGCAGCAAGAUCCUUGGCUGGGCAUAUGCCUCUGUGGAUGGAUGUGCUGUGCUGCUUGACCUCUGGACCUGUGAAACUGCCCUCUUGGGAAAAAAAUGCCAGGCCUUCCGUAUAAGGAAACUUGCUUUCUUUUUGGAAGAAAAACUCCCAGUAGAGAAGAAUGAAACCUCUACAGCAACAAUGCACUAGUUCUCUUCCAAACCCAUCAAAGAGUGUAUUCUUGAACUGCUCUCCCAACCCAAGUCUCUAGGCAGGAUUAAAUGUACAGGUGUGCUCUUGCUGAGGGACUUUUAGCUGAAAUGAAAUGGAAGUGGGUCUCGCUAGCUUUGUUUCCAGCUGGGACUGAACUCUUUCUGAAUGAGAAAACAAUAGCCCUUUGUCCAGCAGCUGAUACAGCUUAGCUUAGUCAAUAUAAAACACGCUUAUUGCCUGUUGCUCAAGCACUAUCUUAGCUUCCUCCAGAACAGUUCAGGUCAGGCAGGUGUAAAUCUGAGAACUUGACUGUUUACACUUAAAUCUGAUUUUUCAGCUACCGAGUUACCUCCUAAGCUCUUCUGCAUCUUCCUCUUCCAUAUUCUUCUGCUUUAAGUAUGGAAAGUAAUGUGAAUGUUUUUCUACUUCCACAUCACUGCAAAAUAGCCAGAUUUAGAUCAUUUCGUAUUGACAUGACCAAUUUGUCCAGAAGCAAGAGCACUGGAUGUUCAUGUUUUCAGUCCCCUGAUUGCCAUCUGAACAAAAAGUACUACAAUGUCAUCUCGAGAGUUCAUGUGCUGUCAUUCUUGGUACAUUUCUUUUUCUGUCCUAAGCUGUGGGUAUGUGUAAUUUAAAUUUUUAUUUAAAUAAAACUUUACAGCUAUUCUUGGUAGAGAAGCCU
rnacentral:lncRNA from 1 species